rnacentral:rRNA from 1 species
UAAUACGUAGGGGGCAAGCGUUGUCCGGAAUCAUUGGGCGUAAAGCGCGUGUAGGCGGCUUCGUCAGUCCGUUGUGAAAGUCCAGGGCUCAACCCUGGAAUGCCGAUGGAUACUGCGGAGCUCGAGUCCGGAAGAGGCAAGUGGAAUUCCUGGUGUAGCGGUGAAAUGCGCAGAUAUCAGGAGGAACACCAAUGGCGAAGGCAGCUUGCUGGGACGGUACUGACGCUGAGACGCGAAAGCGUGGGGAGCAAACAGG